rnacentral:rRNA from 1 species
CAGCCGCCGCGGUAAUACGUAGGUGGCAAGCGUUGUCCGGAAUUAUUGGGCGUAAAGGGCUCGCAGGCGGUUUCUUAAGUCUGAUGUGAAAGCCCCCGGCUCAACCGGGGAGGGUCAUUGGAAACUGGGAAACUUGAGUGCAGAAGAGGAGAGUGGAAUUCCACGUGUAGCGGUGAAAUGCGUAGAGAUGUGGAGGAACACCAGUGGCGAAGGCGACUCUCUGGUUUGUAACUGACGCUGAGGAGCGAAAGCGUGGGGAGCGAACAGGAUUAGAUACCCCAGUAGUCCCUGUCUCUUAUAA